CCUACGGGGGGCAGCAGUGGGGAAUAUUGCACAAUGGGCGAAAGCCUGAUGCAGCAACGCCGCGUGAAGGAAGACGGUUUUCGGAUUGUAAACUUCUGUUCUUAGUGAAGAAUAAUGACGGUAACUAAGGAGCAAGCCACGGCUAACUACGUGCCAGCAGCCGCGGUAAUACGUAGGUGCCAAGCGUUGUCCGGAAUUACUGGGUGUAAAGGGAGCGUAGGCGGGAAGCCAAGGCAGCUGUGAAAACUACGGGCUUAACCUGUAGACUGCAGUUGAAACUGGCUUUCUUGAGUGAAGUAGAGGUUGGCGGAAUGCGGGGUGUAGCGGUGAAAUGCGUAGAUAUUCGGAAGAACACCGAUGGCGAAGGCGGCAAACUGGGGUUUAACUGACGCUGAGGCUCGAAAGUGUGGGGAGCAAACAGGAUUAGAUACCCGAGUAGUC
rnacentral:rRNA from 1 species